rnacentral:lncRNA from 1 species
AUGGAGCAAGUAAGCAAGACAUGCCAGCAGAGCUCACUGGAGCAGGAAGACAUCCCGUCCUCCUCUCGGCACCUGACAAGAAGCCAACAUUGCUGCACAGAGGGAGGUAACCUCAACAUCCAUCAGAGGGAGGGGAUCUUCCCAACAAGCAGCGUUUCUGAACAGAGGGAAGAGAUCCUCACGAAAGCCGGUUUCCCUGUGAAGAAUAGAGACAAUCCUCCACAACCACCUCCCAUCAUCACCAUGGUGGGACGAAAGUGGGAAUGGGAUGGUGGAGUGUGUACUAUUCCAAGAGAAGAGAUGUCCGGAGUAGACAUGUUGCGCAUCCUGCUAUGA